rnacentral:rRNA from 1 species
UACGGAGGGUGCAAGCGUUAUCCGGAUUCACUGGGUUUAAAGGGUGCGUAGGCGGCGCGGUAAGUCGGGUGUGAAAUCUCGGAGCUUAACUCCGAAACUGCAUUCGAUACUGCCGUGCUUGAGGACUGGAGAGGAGACUGGAAUUUACGGUGUAGCGGUGAAAUGCGUAGAUAUCGUGAGGAAGACCAGUGGCGAAGGCGGGUCUCUGGACAGUUCCUGACGCUGAGGCACGAAGGCCAGGGGAGCAAACGGG